UACGAAGGGUGCAAGCGUUACUCGGAAUUACUGGGCGUAAAGCGUGCGUAGGUGGUGAGUUAAGUCUGUCGUGAAAGCCCCGGGCUCAACCUGGGAAUGGCGAUGGAUACUGGCUCGCUAGAGUGCGGUAGAGGAGAGUGGAAUUCCCGGUGUAGCAGUGAAAUGCGUAGAUAUCUGGAGGAACACCGGUGGCGAAGGCGGCGUCCUGGACCAACACUGACACUGAGGAGCGAAAGCCAGGGGAGCAAACGGG
rnacentral:rRNA from 1 species